GUCCACGUGAGGCAUGCAGCGUGGUGAGUGAGGCAAACGGCAGCCAAGGACUCGCGGGAGCAUCUGAUUACGCACGGGGUGAACGCUGGAGCACCUACUAUCCUGCAGGCUCCAGGGGACAAGAGCCCAAGUGAGGCUGCCAGGCGGGAGGCUGCUGCAGGGGACCAGGUUGGCUCAGAAAACCGGAGGUGAAGCUGAAGCAGCCCAGCUGGCCCUAAGAAGCCCUGGACGCUCCCUCCCAUCCUCACAUCGUUGAGUCAAUGCUAUUAUUUGAAUGUCUGUGUCCCCUCCAAAAUUCAUGUUGGAACUUAAUCCUUAAGGAGCAGUUUUAAGAGAUGGGGCCUUUAGGUCAUGAGGGCUCUGCUCUAUGAAUGGAUUAGUGUCUUAUAAAAGGGCUUGAGGGGGCCAGUUCCCCCCUCUUCAGUCCCAUAUGCCAUGUGAAGACACAGUUCAUGGUGCCAUCUUGGAAGCAGAGAGCAACCCUUAACAGACACUGAACAAGCCCGUGCCUUGAUCUUGGACUUCACAGCGUCCAGAACAGUGAGAAAUAAAUUUCUGUUGUUUACAAAUUAUCCAGUGUAUUAGUCUGUUUUCCCACUGUUGAUACAGACAUACCCAAGACUGGGCAAUUUACAAAAGAAAGAGGUUUAAUGG
rnacentral:lncRNA from 10 species